AAAAAAGCUGACACAUAGAGAUAGCCGAACCCGGGCGUUGGUUGACCCGGGCGAAAGGGACCGAACUACAGUAGGGAAGUCGGCGAUGCUCUGUGGCGAGAAAAGGCGAAGGUAGGGUGCCCGUACCGCAAACCGACACAGGUAGAUGAGGAGAGAAUCCUAAGGCCAACGGGAGAAAGGUUGUUAAGGAACUCGGCAAAAUUGCCCCGUAACUUCGGGAGAAGGGGCGCCCUCGAAAGAGGGCCGCAGUGAAAAGGCCCAAGCGACUGUUUACCAAAAACACAGGUCUCUGCUAAAUCGAAAGAUGACGUAUAGGGGCUGACGCCUGCCCGGUGCUGGAAGGUUAAGAGGAGGACUUAGCGCAAGCGAAGGUCUGAAUUUAAGCCCCAGUAAACGGCGGCCGUAACAAUAACGGUCCUAAGGUAGCGAAAUUCCUUGUCAGGUAAGUUCUGACCCGCACGAAUGGCGUAACGAUUUGGGCACUGUCUCAACAGCCUACCCGGCGAAAUUGUAGUACCGGUGAAGAUGCCGGUUACCCGCAACUAGACGGAAAGACCCCAUGGAGCUUUACUGCAGCUUAAUACUGAGAUUCGGUAAUUCAUGUACAGGAUAGGUGGGAGACUUAGAAGCAGAGUCGUUAGGCGCUGUGGAGUCACCCUUGGGAUACCACCCUUGGAUUGCUGGGUUUCUAACCUGCGGCCAUGAAUCUGGUCGGGGGACACUGUUAGGCGGGCAGUUUGACUGGGGCGGUCGCCUCCUAAAAUGUAGCGGAGGCGCUCAAAGCUUGGCUCAGCAUGGAUGGAAAUCAUGCAAUGAGUGUAAACGUAUAAGCCAAGUUGACUGCGAGACCGACGGGUCGAGCAGGUACGAAAGUAGGAGUUAGUGAUCCGGUGGUAUGUGAGUGGAAAUGCCAUCGCUCAACGGAUAAAAGCUACCCUGGGAUAACAGGCUGAUCUCCCCCAAGCGUCCACAGCGACGGGGAGGUUUGGCACCUCGAUGUCGGCUCGUCGCAUCCUGGGGCUGUAUUCGGUCCCAAGGGUUUGGCUGUUCGCCAAUUAAAGCGGCACGCGAGCUGGGUUCAGAACGUCGUGAGACAGUUCGGUCCCUAUCUGUUGCGGGCGUAAGAGAUUUGAAGGGAGCUGUCCUUAGUACGAGAGGACCGGGAUGGACUGACCGCUGGUGCACCAGUUGUUCUGCCAAGAGCAUAGCUGGGUAGCUACGUCGGGACGAGAUAAACGCUGAAGGCAUCUAAGCGUGAAACUCCCCCUAAGAUAAGAUCUCUCAUCCUUUAUGGAGUAAGGCUCGUCGUAGACUAUGACGUUGAUAGGUCAGAGGUGGAAGCGCCGUAAGGUGUGUAGCUGACUGAUACUAAUAAGCCGAGGGCUUGACCU
rnacentral:rRNA from 1 species